UCCGAGUUGACCCCGGCAGUCUCCUAUGAGUCCCCACCUUUACGUGCUGGCAACAUAGGACGAGGGUUGCGCUCGUUGCGGGACUUAACCCAACAUCUCACGACACGAGCUGACGACAACCAUGCACCACCUGUUCAGGACCCUUGCGGACCUCACAUCUCUGUGAGAUUUCCCUGAAUGUCAAGCCUUGGUAAGGUUCUUCGCGUUGCAUCGAAUUAAGCCACAUGCUCCGCCGCUUGUGCGGGCCCCCGUCAAUUCCUUUGAGUUUUAGCCUUGCGGCCGUACUCCCCAGGCGGGGUGCUUAAUGCGUUAGCUGCGGCACAGACGGCGUGGAAUACCGCCUACACCUAGCACCCACCGUUUACGGCGUGGACUAC
rnacentral:misc_RNA from 1 species